UUUUUUUUCCUCUAUAUGAAGAAUGCCCAGCCUCUACUUGCUGUUUCUCCUUAACAAUUAUUUGAGGCACCAUAUUCUCCAGAUGAAAAACAGACAUGAAUGCACAUCUUACAACUGUGCUACAUAACAGACUGAAGUAUCAACACAGUGCUGUCAGACCUGCUAAAGUCCUACAGAAUCUAACUCCAUUUUUAACAUAAUUCUUAUGGGAAUCUAUGUUUUACUUAAAGUCACAAUUUUAAGUGGGAACUUAAAAGUCAAGAGCUAGAUUUCAUUUCCAAGAAGAUUGUAACAAUGGGAUGUUAAUCUAUGACCCUUACUGUUCUAUCUUGCACAAAAUUGAAAUAGAUAUUGGUCUAUCAAUUAUAAAUGGAAGGAAAACAUCACAUUUCAGCACCUUAACAAAUGUGUAACCACGGAUUGCCUUGAAGAGCAGUACAGCCACCAUGGAUAAUGCAUAGACCCGAAUGUAAAAGUUCUGAUGCGGAUGGUCUCUUAUGCUGUUGCUGAUGCAGGUCACGUUACCUUCAGUAACAGACAUAUUCUGAAAAAUAAUAUCAGAUACAAUGUUCGAUCUCUUAAGGAGUCAGUCUACAAUCAUCUGCCCAGUUCAUACAAGAUAUUCAUUGUUGUGUACGAUAUAAAUGCAACAUGGAAUUUUGUUUUUUGUUUUUGCAUUGAACUUCUGUUGAAGUUUGAAAGCAUUAAAUGACAUAAGGUCCAAAGCACUAGUUUUUGAUAUAGGAUUGACAGCUUUUAUCACUCUAUUGUACCAUAAAAAAUUAUAAAAUGAAUGCAUGACAAUG